CGAAAGCCUGACGGAGCAAUACCGCGUGAGGGAGGAAGGCUCUUGGGUCGUAAACCUCUUUUCUCAGGGAAGAACACAAUGACGGUACCUGAGGAAUAAGCAUCGGCUAACUCCGUGCCAGCAGCCGCGGUAAUACGGAGGAUGCAAGCGUUAUCCGGAAUGAUUGGGCGUAAAGCGUCCGCAGGUGGUUUUGUAAGUCUGCUGUUAAAGCGUGCAGCUUAACUGCAUAAAGGCGGUGGAAACUACAAGACUAGAGUACGUUAGGGGUAGAGGGAAUUCCCAGUGUAGCGGUGAAAUGCGUAGAGAUCAGGAAGAACACCGGUGGCGAAGGCGCUCUGCUAGGCCGUAACUGACACUGAGGGACGAAAGC
rnacentral:rRNA from 1 species